rnacentral:rRNA from 1 species
UACGUAGGUGGCAAGCGUUGUCCGGAUUUAUUGGGCGUAAAGAGCUCGUAGGCGGCUCGGUAAGUCGGAUGUGAAACCUCCAGGCUCAACCUGGAGACGCCAUCUGAUACUGCCGUGGCUUGAGUCCGGUAGAGGAGCAGGGAAUUCCUGGUGUAGCGGUGAAAUGCGCAGAUAUCAGGAGGAACACCAGCGGCGAAGGCGCUGCUCUGGGCCGGUACUGACGCUGAGGAGCGAAAGCGUGGGGAGCGAACAGG